rnacentral:rRNA from 1 species
GACGAACGCUGGCGGCGUGCUUAACACAUGCAAGUCGAACGAUGAUGCCAGCUUGCUGGUGGAUUAGUGGCGAACGGGUGAGUAACGCGUGAGCAACCUGCCCCUGACUUCGGGAUAACCGCGGGAAACCGUGGCUAAUACCGGAUAUGACGCGCUAUCGCAUGGUGGUGUGUGGAAAGAUUUAUCGGUUGGGGAUGGGCUCGCGGCCUAUCAGCUUGUUGGUGGGGUGAUGGCCUACCAAGGCGACGACGGGUAGCCGGCCUGAGAGGGUGACCGGCCACACUGGGACUGAGACACGGCCCAGACUCCUACGGGAGGCAGCAGUGGGGAAUAUUGCACAAUGGGCGCAAGCCUGAUGCAGCGACGCCGCGUGAGGGAUGACGGCCUUCGGGUUGUAAACCUCUUUCAGUAGGGAAGAAGGCCUUCGGGUUGACGGUACCUGCAGAAGAAGCGCCGGCUAACUACGUG